GAUGAACGCUGGCGGCGUGCCUAAUACAUGCAAGUCGAGCGAACAGACGAGGAGCUUGCUCCUCUGACGUUAGCGGCGGACGGGUGAGUAACACGUGGAUAACCUACCUAUAAGACUGGGAUAACUUCGGGAAACCGGAGCUAAUACCGGAUAAUAUAUUGAACCGCAUGGUUCAAUAGUGAAAGACGGUUUUGCUGUCACUUAUAGAUGGAUCCGCGCCGCAUUAGCUAGAUGGUAAGGUAACGGCUUACCAAGGCAACGAUGCGUAGCCGACCUGAGAGGGUGAUCGGCCACACUGGAACGGAGACACGGUCCAGACUCCUACGGGAGGCAGCAGUAGGGAAUCUUCCGCAAUGGGCGAAAGCCUGACGGAGCAACGCCGCGUGAGUGAUGAAGGUCUUCGGAUCGUAAAACUCUGUUAUUAGGGAAGAACAAAUGUGUAAGUAACUAUGCACAUCUUGACGGUACCUAAUCAGAAAGCCACGGCUAACUACGUG
rnacentral:rRNA from 1 species